UACGUAGGGGGCAAGCGUUGUCCGGAAUCAUUGGGCGUAAAGAGCGUGUAGGCGGCUCGGUAAGUCCGCUGUGAAAGUCCAGGGCUCAACCCUGGAAUGCCGGUGGAAACUGUCGAGCUAGAGUCCGGAAGAGGCGAGUGGAAUUCCUGGUGUAGCGGUGAAAUGCGCAGAUAUCAAGUGGAACACCAGUGGCGAAGGCGAGUCCCUGGAAAACUCCUGACACUGAGGCACGAAAGCUAGGGGAGCAAACAGG
rnacentral:rRNA from 1 species